AUCAUCAUCAUAUGUGGUUUUAUGGAAUCAUUGAAAUGGCUUAAUUUUCAUAUUGUUUACUAGUCACUACAACAUAUGUAAGAUUUAGCAGUAGCCAAAGUCAUCAGAAAAAUAGAGAAAAAUGCUAAUAAAACUAGCCAAAACUAUUGGUAAAAGUUUAUUGGCACCAACUAAAUAAUUUCUAGUUGGUCAUUGACAAAAACCCCGUCAGUGAUUCUCAGUUAGCAGCAACAAACAUCAAUAAAAGUAAAUAA
rnacentral:lncRNA from 1 species